rnacentral:rRNA from 1 species
AUUAAACGCUGGCGGCAUGCCUUACACAUGCAAGUCGAACGGUAGCGCGGGGCAACCUGGCGACGAGUGGCGAACGGGUGAGUAAAGCAUCGGAACGUGCCCUGGAAUGGGGGAUAACGUAGCGAAAGUUACGCUAAUACCGCAUAUUCUGUGAGCAGGAAAGCAGGGGAUCGCAAGACCUUGCGUUCUGGGAGCGGCCGAUGUCGGAUUAGCUAGUUGGUGGGGUAAAGGCCUACCAAGGCGACGAUCCGUAGCGGGUCUGAGAGGAUGAUCCGCCACACUGGGACUGAGACACGGCCCAGACUCCUACGGGAGGCAGCAGUGAGGAAUAUUGGGCAAUGCACGAAAGUGUGACCCAGCAACGCCGCGUGGAGGAUGAAGGUAUUCUAAUAUCGUAAACUCCUGUGAGAGCAGACGAAAGACAGAUUAUUAAUUUGGAUGACUGUAUGCUCAGAGGAAGCCCCGGCUAACUACGUGCCAGCAGCCGCGGUAAU